UUUUUUUUUUUUUUUUAUCUUCUUGCCUCCUUUUCUAGGGCUGCUCCCAUGGCAUGUGGAGGUUUCCAGGAUGGGGGUCCAAUUGGAGCUGCAGCUGCUGGCCCAUGCCACAGCCACAGCAACGCAGGAUCCGAGCCGCGUCUGCAAUCUACACCACAGCUCACGGCAAUGCCGGAUCCUUUAACCCACUGAGCAAGGCCAGGGAUUGAACCCGCAACCUCAUGGUUCCUAGUUGGAUUCAUUAACCACUGCACCAUGAUGGGAACUCCAGCUUAUCUCCUUUUUGUAAGCUGAUGGAGGGAAGAGUUUUUACUCACCUUUGUAAAUUCUAAAGACAGUAGGUAUUGAUAGGAUAGGUACUUAAACAUUUACUGAAUAUAUAAAUGAAUUAACUAUUUUCAGAACAUAGAGAUAGAUGUAAGUCUGGUUAUUUAUUGAAAGUCUGACCAAUCUUAGCAUGGAUUUGAAUGUGAAACCAAAAGGAAGUGUGGAUUUCUGGUUAUUUUGUGAUUUUUGAAAAUAUUUUCAAGUUUAAUUAGCGCUCACUUUUUGAAACUGGUCCGAAUGUGAUAUACAACACAAUGACUAUUUAUGUAAAACAGUCACUGCAAGUGAGGCACUCUGAAGUGUAAUGACAAGUUUAGUAUCCUUUCCAGGAGAAUCUUAUCCUUCAGGACUCCACUGGAACUCAGGUCAGGGAUACAGCAGCUGGAGAGGAAGGGUCUUCUGACACUGGCUGCUUGACCCACCUUUCCUUGCCCCAAGGUAGUAACGUUAAGAUCCAGGCUGAGAACUUGUCAAAUGACAUUCUGGAUUGGACCCACUUUGCAAACCACAAAGGGCAAGGCAAAUGUUACUGAUAAUUAUUGCUAUUCAGAGAAAUCUUUUGCAAAAUGCUCAUGGCAUGAACCUUCCCAUUUGAGAAGGGGGGUUCAGUACGCCUGAGUUGGCGCUGCUCUGGUUGUUUUCCUUUCUCUUCGAGAACACGCUUCAGGGGUCUGCCCUCUCUGGAAAAUGAUUUGUUUUGUAAAUGUCAACGAUUCAAAAACAUUUCUAAGGGGGAUUCUCACCACAUACAAAUCAGAGGGUCAAUCAGAAGUCUGUGAUACCUGAGACAAAACCGCACAUAGAGCUGCACACUGGGACUUUCCCUCUGAGCUUACGUUGCAAGGAGUGCUUCUAAACCAUGAGCCCACACCUUCGACUAAGGCCUCAUUUGCCCCUCGGUAUAAAGGACACGCUGACUAGAGCCUGCAGAGGGCAAACUUUUUAGUAGCUAUGUUUACAUUCGCUCUUACUAUUGCUCAUAGAAUGGAUUCAAAUGCGAUUCCAUUUGCAGACAGUUCAUAAAUAGUUAGUUUUAAAUUUAGCCUUAAUCUCUUUGGGAAUGAGUUCUGUUUAUGGUUCACAAUGUGACUUCCCAGUUUUAAAAAGAAAAAUAAGCAAAUCCUCUAAGACUUAGAGAAAAGCACUUUCUAUUUCGUGAGCUUUCUUAAAAUUCUGGCAGUGUGAUUCAGCAGCCUGCUUCCCCGCAUUAUGCCCCAAAGGAGAAGGCAGAGGUGACAGAACUUGAAAACCCCUCCAAAGUGUAAACCGGGGGGAACAGAGGAAAGAAAAAGAUUCUUAUAACUGUCAGAGUCUGAAGAAACAACAACAACAAAAAAGAAGUUCAGAGCAUUUUAAAAACAAACAAAAUCUAAAGCAAACUCAGCUACACAUUCAUUCAGCUUGUCUAGCUUGAGAAAUGACGAAUACAGAAGAGUAUAGCCAUAGGAUACUAAUUCCUUGUAUUACUUCCAUGCCUUUUCUUUUCCUUUUUUUGUCUUUUUGCCAUUUCUUGGGCCGCUCCUGCAGCAUAUGGAGGAAUGGAAAGGAAGAGAGGAAUAUUCUGGAGAAGUGAGUGUGGAAUACGCCCUAUGUAGAGUAUCCUCGGCCUGCUGGAAUAAGCACUUCAAACCUGGGGCCUUAGGAAACUGAAAUUGUCUCUCAGUCCUGGAGGCCAGAAGUCCAAGAGGAAGGUGUCAUUGGGGUGGGUUCCUUCUGGGCUCUAUGAGGGAGAAUCAGUCCCAUGCUCCUCUCCUCACAUGCAGUGCUUUGCUGAAACUGUUGCUCUCUCGGCUUAUAAAACCAUCAUCUCAGUCUUUGCCUUAAUUUUCACAUAGCAUUCUCCUGGUGUGAACAUCUAUGUCAGAAUUGUCCCUUCAAAUAAGGAUGCCACUCAAACGAGGGAUUAGGGCCCCCUGCUCCAGUAGGACCUUAUUUAUUUAUUUAUUUAUUUUGGCUCCUGAGGCAUAUGGAAGUUCCCAGGCUAAGGGUCAAAUGGGAGCUGUAGCCUCUGGCCUACGCCACAGCCACAGCAACGUGGGAUUUGUGCUGUGUCUAUAACCUACACCACAGCUCAUAACAAUGCCGAAUCCCCAACCCACUGAUGGAGACCAGGGAUUGAACCUGCAUCUUCAUGGGUACUACUCAGAUUCCUUUCUACUGAGCCACAAUGGGAACUCCUAUGACCUCAGCUUAAUGUAACCAAUUACAUCUGCAGUGACCCCAUUUGCAAAUAAAGUGACAUUCUGAGGUACUGAGGGCUGGGACUUCAACAUAUCAAUUUUGGGAAGAACACAAUUCAACUCAUGAUAUUCUGGAAAAGGAGUCAGAUAAUUAGCACAUGGUGGGAGGAGCAUUUUUAAGACUAGAAGAUCUAUAAUUUUCAAAAGUGGUAGGAGAGGAGGGUGGAGGCUAGGAUGUGAAGAGAUUCUAUAGCCAUGUUUGCGGUGAAGAAAGUUGAAAUAUAUGCUCGGAUGUUUUGAGAAGCAAUGAUAGGUGAAGACGGGAUACAAAGAUGUGUGAUCCUAAAUUAGGGAAAACGUUGCACUGAACAAGCCUUAAUGGGAUCCUUUAGCGCUUCUCAUACACUGUAACGUGGUAAUGUACUUCGUAAAAUCCACACGCGUAAGGGUAGGCAGUGCUUGCCAACCCUAUCUCACUGCAGAGACCAUUUUUUUCCAGAGAUCUUCCACUAAAAAAUAUUCAUUUGGAUAUGCGGGCAUAGUCAUUGCAUAGACUUCCCAGCGGGCUUCCUUACAUCUCUUGAGUCCCAGUUUCCUUCUCUGCGGAGCUGGGACAAUCGUAGUGUUUGAUAAGUUCAGGCCAUAUAAAAGGAAGGCGACUCUUUAAAGUUAAAGCAUUAGACACAUGGGAGUAACUGGAGACAUUUUAGGCAGGAGGUGGAAGGCUUGUGAAUUUGCUGAAAAUAAGAGAGCAGUCAAAGCAAUCGUUUGUGGGAAAUAAAGAUCCACACACUAAUAACCAGGUAGCAUCAAAAGGAGGCCUCCUGCGGGGGUGGCUCAUGCCUUUCCCACCAUUCCUACUUCAUUCAUUCAUUCAUAUUCAUUAAGCACAUCUCUAAAUUCAUCACUCAGCAUUCCUCAAGGCACACUUCAUAGAUGACUUGAAUUCAAUCUGGCCGCCCCUUCCUCAGCUCUCCUGGGCAUACACUGUCUGAGUCACACAGCUUGGCAUUUGAAUAUAUAUUGUCUUGAAUGAUUAUCUCUUUGUUUCCUUUUCUUUGGAUGCACCUCCUAAAUGAGAUUAUAAAUCUUCCUUAAGUAAUUACAAAUAAUAUCCUACAGACUUCCAACCUCGCAGUGCACAAAACUAAGUGCAUAGAAGAUACAUAAUAAGUACGCAAUGCACUGAAGAAAAUUUGGCAUCUGGGACAAAGACCUCUGCAACAUCUAGUUAACUUAUCCUACUGUUACAAAAACACUGGCAACCGAACACAAAAUGCGGAGAAUUACCUAGAAAUAUAUGUUCCAUAUUUUUCGUGAUUAUCCAUAAUCAUAAUUGAUAAGUGAUUUCUAAAUCUUCAUUUAUACAAGGGAGCCACUGUGUAUAUGGUGUUCUUUGAUUCAAAGGAGUUACAUUUUGCCUCUAACCAGCUUAGAGCUGUCAUUGACAAUUAAAAAAAAAACUGACAAACAGAUAAGAUGAAAUGAGCAGAAAACACCUAUUUAUUUAUAAAAAUGAUGGUACUAAUAUAGGAGAAAUUGGGUGCUGAUUUACUGAGACAAAGGGCUUUCCAUUUCAUUUUGCUAUUAGGCCCCUUUUUGAACUACUCUUAAAAUUACUUGAGGAAGUUCACAUGGAAAGUUUAUUUCUUCUUGAAGGUCAUUUAUAGAUUACAGAAUAUACCAACUUGUUAAGUUAAAAAUCACCAAAUCUCUUUGGGCAAUUUGCUGUGAAGAUCAAUUGGGCACUCCAAAUCUCCAGGGUUACAUUAUUUGAUGUGUUUUGUUAACUUGUCAGGUUGACACACUGCAUUAAGGGUGAGAACAAUUUCUUUGGGAGUACAUUUAUUUUCACUAACUUAAAAAAAUGAUUCUCGUCUAUUCAGAUAAUAUUUUGUCAAGAGUUAUAAAAUACUGGGCUUUAGCUUUGUGGUUUAAUAAGCCACACCCAUACUUUAUGAUUGACAAUAAAAUAACUAUUAAGUCAAAAUAUGCAGCUGAUAAGAAUCUUCUUCCAAAGCCUUACAUAUCUACAAAUGAAUCAAAGGAGAACACAGCCACCCAAUAAUUACCGGUUCCUGGAUCAUUCCUCGCUGUCUUAUUCAAUCAUUCAAAGUUGUGCUCUCCAUACACCAACCUGCUUUCCAGCACUUCCACCACUCAGUGUUGAAAGUUAUUAUUUUUUUUUUAUUUCCAGCUUUGAAGAAUACUUCAAAAUAUAAUUGUACAUAUGUAAAGUGCAGAAUUUGAUGAUUUGCUCUGCAUAUACAUUAUGAAAUGUUACCAAAAAGUUAUUCUCAAUAAUGAUUUCCUUCCAACCAAGUUUAGCAGUGUUUCAAUCUUCCCAGAAACUGGGACCCCCACAUAACGACUUCUUUUCAAACAUAUUUUCAAGCUGGGAAAUGUAAAAAUCUGUAAGAAAAAUUAGUAAGUUGUCCCUGUGAGGUAUGGCAGCAUCAGCAUGGUAGAAAGAACACAGACCUUAGAAUCAAGGCUCUGAUUCAAGGUAAGGUCACACUCGUCUGUGUGAACUCAACGUGCUGAGCCUCAGUUUCCCCAUCAAAGGAUAUUAACGUCUCAGAGUUCCCAGAUUCAUAACAGAUUUUUAGUUAUUAUUUAAUGAGUGAAUGAAUGACCACACAGUAUCCCCUAUGUCUCAUAUUCUGCUUUGGUCUCCUUUUCCUUUUCCUAUUUCAUGCUUCGUCCUUCAUACUACCUCCCACUUCCUUCAUACUCCCUCCCACUUCCUUCAUACUACCUCCUACUUCCUUCAUACUACUUCCCACUUCCUUUCUUUUCCACUCGCAACCUAGCAAGAAAUUAAAUUCCUUUCCUUGUGACCUUUCACUUAAAAUCACUUUUUUUUUUUUUCUCAGUUUCUUCAUUUUCUCCACACAAUCUAGCUCCAUGUCUCCACCUUAUACUCACUCUCCAAAGUCAGGUUUUUCCUUUCACUCAAAACCUGACAAAAAUCAUACCCUUUGCCUAUUACAUGCACUCAGUAAAUAAUAAAGUGGUGAUGUUGAAUUCAUCCACAAAGAACAUAUAAUCUAGGCAAUAAAAUUUGGCAAAGAAAAGAGAGUGAGUAACUGCAAUCCAUUUAGAAACAGGUGUGAUUUCUCUCACCAACCGUUAACACGUUUGCGCUGCCAUAAUUACUGCAGGGGUAUAUACUACAUUGCCAUAGAAACAUUGUUUCCAAAAUACAUAUGUAUAGAUUUUAUUGGUGGGUAUGUUGGCUAUAAAGCAGUUUUCCACACUUCUUGUGAGCUUUGACAAUGACGAGUGACAGGAAUCAUAUUCGUCUCUACAGCUGCCCCAUGUUGAAGGGUUUCAAGGUACAAGAAAUACUCCUACCUUCUGUAUUUCAAAGUGACUAGAGCUGGUAUCCCCCCAGGUGCACACAUUUAAAAGUAAGGUAACUAGCUAAGUAAAGAUCACAGUAAUAGUAAAAAUAUAACCAAAUUAGGAUCCAUCUGUAAAAUGAGAAGAAUAAUAUUCCUCGUAGAAGAUUUUUAUUUGCUCAAAUGAGACAUGGCAAAUUAAAAAACCUGUAAAUUAUAAAAUGUUAUGUAAAUAUUAAUUCUGGGUUUUAUUCAACAUCAACACAGACUGUCCUCACAUAUUAGGAGGAGUUCAGUUUUGAGAGUUCGCUUGGUCCCUCCUUAAACACACUGAUAUAGUCUUCCUUCCCUAUGUAUUUAUGGACAAGCACAUUCAGCAUCCUCAAGGUUUAACCUCAGGUCCAGACCGUCAGAGAAACAGUGCCUGCUAGCAGAUGAGUGUUUUCUCUGGCUACCUUGUAGACCUUUCCUAUCUCUAACCUAUGAGGAAAAAAAUACCAAAUAAAAAUCUUUGGAAUUCACACUUUGCAUUUCUAUUGGCGAAAAUCAAAAUGACUGUGAGAAACUACUGAAUUCGAGAAAAGCAAUAUAAAUUCACACCUUUGACUCACACAGAGGAAAGAGUCAAGGUUUAAACUGACCUCUUUCUCCUUCUAAAUCACACACACACACACACACACACACACACACACACACACACACACGGAAUUCUUUUAAAUAACCAAGGAGGCAAACCUAUUUUAAUGACAAGACCAAGUGGCUAAGUUCUGAUGCAAAUAAUAACAAUUCAUGCUUGCCUUCCUUUUACAACCACAAAGUAUUUCCCGUACUUGAUUGCAGUGGAUCUUCAUUACCGCACUAUGAAGUAAUCAGAAGUGGGGAGUGUUGAGAGGAGGUGAAUUCCUGGUGAGUUAUCCUUCACCUGUACACUGGUUUGUUGCUCUGCACUCCUUCCACGGUUAACACUGAUCACAAAGCUUACUGCCCCCAAGGAAGAGAAGGAAAUGAACCACCUAGAGGUAAGACGUUCACGAAGUCGGAAAAUCAGCUUAACGUAGGAGGAAGGUCUUAGACUGUGCAAGGAAAAGAAGAGGUUUUCAAGUUGGAAGGGAGAUGUACAAGCAGAAGCUUGGGGAAGUACGAGAUCAGUCUUGCUGGAGCUGACCCCCAGAGUGAGAGCAAAGGAAAAGGAGAGGCCCAGGUAGUAAGCACAAAGGAGCAACAAAAGUAAAGAGGACUUUUUCUUACCUCCUGUUCAGAAAUUGCUUAGCAGGCUGCCCCCAAGUUAACAUGGCAGGCACGACAGAAUAAAAGACUGGUGUGAUAUGUUUCUGCAGAGACAGGGCAGGAGAAGGCCCUUACGUCCUUCUUAGCUCCUAUGUGACAGACACAUAUGCCAGGAGUUGCGGGGAGGCAGAAGAGAGUUGGGAGCCAAACUGAGGCAAGGGGUGAGAGAGCCCACAGCCUAGGCGGGGUAGUCCAUUAAGACCCCAGAGAUCUGCACACCAAAAGAGCCAAGUGAGGCCAACUUGCUGAGGGGUGGAGUGGGUCCCAAGGAGCCCCUACUAUGCCAAGUGCAUAGACCUCCAGGUCCACCAGCCACAUGGGCAGGGCAGUGGGGAAAAGAGCAAUGUCCAGAAACCCACAAUGUAUUUCAGCAGUUAAGUGCCCAACAGAAAGAACAGCUCAUGCUGUUGGCCACCACUGAUACAAUAGGAGCUGUGAAAUCAACAAAGGCUAACUACAUAAGAAAAGCAAAUGCUAUUUGUUCAGAGUUUGCUAUGGCAAAAGAUAGCCACCAUCACGUGCACCAUGACAGAGACUCAACAGCAGGUGAAGAAAUAGCAAAGCUUUACACAAUGGAAGGCAGGGAAAGCUUCAGGUGGACCCUGAUUGGAGGCUGAUGGCCUGGUGGAUCUUUAAGGGCAUAACGGAAGUGGGACAUCCUAUGUGGUUGGUUAGGUUAUAUUUGACUUUCUCUAGUUGAUCCUAAGUUUGAAACAGGGAUCAAAGUUAAGAAAGAUAUCAAUUAUUAAUCAAGUCCUGGCCAUUUGGGUGGAUUGUUAACAAGAAGAUAUUAUUUACCUUCUUGGAUUGUCACUAGAAAUAACAAUGGGGAUUUCUGCAGGUCUGACUUAGAGCAGGCUGACGUCUAGAGCUGUUUAUUGCAGAUAAGGGGCUGGUUUCCUAAGUAGUUUAUGUGCUGCAGGUUGUGGGUUCUAUUUUUAAUAUGUGGCCUUGCCAUUGACUUGUUUCUAUAAACAGUCUCUAAGAGCACACAAAUGUCCUCUGUCACCUACGUGGUACCUUGUAAAGAAGAGAGAGGAGAAAAAAUUCAAAAGAAGAGGAACAGAGAGACAGCCUUUUAGGAGGGUUCAAACGUUGGAUGGAUUGAAUAUUUUUCCAAAAGAGACCAAGUUAGCUGGAAAGAAAAUGUUAUAGCCUGGAAAAGAUGAAUAUAUCAUUAAUGAGUUUAGGGGUUUGGAGGUGGGGGUUUUAUGUUAUUUUUUGUUGUUCUUCGUUUGUUUGUUUUUUGCUAGCAACAGGAUUGGAGGAUCCAGAGUAAGAUAUGAUUAGAUUUGGAAAACAGAGAACCUACAUUUUUUGCACUCCCAAUAUGUGGUACACAAAUUUUUACCCUGUGAUUGGUAUUUUUGCACACAGUUUACAUGAGAGGUUUUCAAAAAUAAUAACUGUAAUUUGAAAAGAUACAUG
rnacentral:lncRNA from 1 species